rnacentral:tRNA from 1 species
UCCCUAAUAGCUCAGUUGGUAAAGAAUCUGCCUGCAAUGCAGGAGACCCUAGUUUCAUUCCGGGUUGGGAAG